rnacentral:rRNA from 1 species
CCCUUAGAUGUUCUGGGCUGCACGCGCGCUACACUGAUGCGAUCAACAAGUUUUUCCUAUGUCGAUAGACACGGGUAAUCUUUUGAACUCGCAUCGUGAUGGGGAUAGAUUAUUGUAAUUAUUAAUCUUCAACGAGGAAUUCCUAGUAGGUGCAAAUCAUCAGUUUGCAUCGAUUACGUCCCUGCCCUUUGUACACACCGCCCGUCGCUGCUACCGACUGGUUGAUCUGGUGAAUUAUUCGGACUGCCGGCUGAAGGGGUUUCCUCAUCUGCCAGCGGAAAGUCUUGUUAACCCUAUCAACUAGAGGAAGCAGAAGUCGUAACA